rnacentral:rRNA from 1 species
UCUAAACGACUCUCGGCAACGGAUAUCUCGGCUCUCGCAUCGAUGAAGAACGUAGCGAAAUGCGAUACUUGGUGUGAAUUGCAGAAUCCCGUGAACCAUCGAGUUUUUGAACGCAAGUUGCGCCCGAAGCCUUCUGGCUGAGGGCACGCCUGCCUGGGCGUCAC